rnacentral:rRNA from 1 species
UGGGGAAUCUUGGACAAUGGGGGCAACCCUGAUCCAGCCAUGCCGCGUGAGUGAUGAAGGCCUUAGGGUCGUAAAGCUCUUUCGCCUGUGAAGAUAAUGACGGUAGCAGGUAAAGAAACCCCGGCUAACUCCGUGCCAGCAGCCGCGGUAAUACGGAGGGGGUUAGCGUUGUUCGGAAUUACUGGGCGUAAAGCGCACGUAGGCGGACCAGAAAGUUGGGGGUGAAAUCCCGGGGGCUCAACCCCGGAACUGCCUCCAAAACUAUUGGUCUAGAGUUCGAGAGAGGUGAGUGGAAUUCCAAGUGUAGAGGUGAAAUUCGUAGAUAUUUGGAGGAACACCAGUGGCGAAGGCGGCUCACUGGCUCGAUACUGACGCUGAGGUGCGAAAAGUGUGGGGAGCAAAACAGGAUUAGAUACCCUGGUAGUCCACACCGUAAAACGAUGAAUGCCAGUCGUCGGGUAGCAUGCUAUUCGGUGACACACCU